AUUGAACGCUGGCGGCAGGCCUAACACAUGCAAGUCGAGCGGAUGAAGGGAGCUUGCUCCUGGAUUCAGCGGCGGACGGGUGAGUAAUGCCUAGGAAUCUGCCUGGUAGUGGGGGAUAACGUCCGGAAACGGGCGCUAAUACCGCAUACGUCCUGAGGGAGAAAGUGGGGGAUCUUCGGACCUCACGCUAUCAGAUGAGCCUAGGUCGGAUUAGCUAGUUGGUGGGGUAAGGGCCUACCAAGGCGACGAUCCGUAACUGGUCUGGGAGGAUGAUCAGUCAAAGGGGAACUGAGACACGGUCCAGACUCCUACGGGCGGCACAAGUGGGGAAUAUUGAAAAAUGGGCGAAAGGCUGAUCGAGUGAUACCGCGUGGGUGAAGAAGGUCUUUGAGUUCUUGAGCUCUUUUAUUGGGAAAGAAAAGAAGCAAGUUAAAACCUCGCUGUUGGGACGGUACAAAAAGAAUAAGCAGCGGCUAACUUCGUG
rnacentral:rRNA from 1 species